AUUGAACGCUGGCGGCAUGCCUUACACAUGCAAGUCGAACGGUAACAGGUCUUCGGAUGCUGACGAGUGGCGAACGGGUGAGUAAUACAUCGGAACGUGCCUAGUAGUGGGGGAUAACUACUCGAAAGAGUGGCUAAUACCGCAUGAGAUCUACGGAUGAAAGCAGGGGAUCGCAAGACCUUGUGCUACUAGAGCGGCCGAUGGCAGAUUAGGUAGUUGGUGGGAUAAAAGCUUACCAAGCCGACGAUCUGUAGCUGGUCUGAGAGGACGAUCAGCCACACUGGGACUGAGACACGGCCCAGCCUCCUACGGGAGGCAGCAGUGGGGAAUUGUGGACAAUGGGCGCAAGCCUGAUCCAGCAAUGCCGCGUGCAGGAUGAAGGCCUUCGGGUUGUAAUCUGCUUUUGUACGGAACGAAAAGCCCUGGGUUAAUACCCUGGGGUCAUGACGGUACCGUAAGAAUAAGCACCGGCUAACUACGUGCCAGCCGCCGCCGUAACAC
rnacentral:rRNA from 1 species